rnacentral:pre_miRNA from 1 species
GUAUUACUCCCUUCGUUCGGAAUUACUUGUCUCGGAAAUGGAUGUAUCUAGAACUAAAAUAUGUCUAGAUAUAUCCAUCUGUUACAAGUAAUUCCGAAUGGACGGAGUAGUUA